rnacentral:lncRNA from 1 species
AACACGGUGGUGUGUUAGGUAGAUUAUGUCUCUCUCUGCGGGCACUGUGGGUGGGGUAGGUAGAGUACAUCUCCUCUCUCUGCAGCACUGUGGUUGUGUAGGUAGAGUAAUCUCCUCUCUCUGCACACUGUGGUGUGGUAGGUAGAUUAUGGUCUCUCUCUGCAGCACUGUGGUGUGGUAGGUAGAUUAUGUCUCUCUCUGCGACACUGGUGUGGUAGGUAGAUUAUGUUUCUCUCUGCGCACUGUGGUGUGGUAGGUAGAGGUAGAUUAUGUCUCUCUCUGCGGCACUGUGGUGUGGUAGGUAGAUAUGUUUCUCUCUGCGGCGCACGUGGGUGUGGUAGGUAGAGGUAGAUUAUGUCUCCUCUGCAGCACUGUGGUGUGGUAGGUAGAUUAUGUUUCUCUCUGCAGCACUGUGUGUGGUAGGUAGAGGUAGAUUGUGUCUCUCUGCGGCACUGUGUGUGGUAGGUAGAUUAUGUCUCUCUGGGCACUGUGGUGUGGUAGGUAGAGGUAGAUUAUGUCUCUCUGCGGCACUGUGGUGUGGUAGGUAGAUUAUGUCUCUCUGCGGCACUGUGGUUGGUAGGUAGAGGAGAUUAUGUCUCUCUGCGCACUGUGGUGUGGUAGGUAGAGGUAGAUUAUGUCUCUCUGCGGCACUGUGGUGUGGUAGGUAGAGGUAGAUUUAGUCUCUCUCGGCAGCACUGUGGUUGGGUAGGUAGAUUAUGUUUCUCUCUGCAGCACUGUGGUGUGGUAGGUAGAGGUAGAUUAUGUCUCUCUGCGCACUGUGGUGUGGUAGGUAGAUUAUGUCCUCUCUGCGGCACUUUGUGGUGUGGUA